GCUGUUUACUGCUCCGGUGAAUGGUGGCCUGCCGUGCCACCCUGCUGCUUGGAGCCAGCUAAGUAUGGACCGAAACCUCCAAAACUGGCUGUUGAUUGCCUCCGUUAACCCAAGAUGAUGGAAAUCUUUCCACUGAGGAAACCCAAAGGGUAUAAUCAAGUUAAAGAAACAUCUCGCUACAUAAAAAGCCCAGCCUUGGUACCUGGAGCACACAAGUCGACAUUCACCCAAGGACUUUGGCCCUUGUGGUCUUCGCUCAACGUUUGAUCUGCUGUGGUUCUUCCAGGACUUUUUAGAGUCCUUUCCCUCCAACUGUGCUUCUACCAAGGCUUGGACCACAGUCAGCCCUGUGUGAUUUCAAAUGCACAUGUCCCCACCACCUCUGG